ACCCGCUGAACUUAAGCAUAUCAAUAAGCGGAGGAAAAGAAACCAACAGGGAUUGCCCUAGUAACGGCGAGUGAAGCGGCAACAGCUCAAAUUUGAAAUCUGGCGCAAGCCCGAGUUGUAAUUUGUAGAGGAUGCUUCUAGGUAGCGACCGGUCUAAGUUCCUUGGAACAGGACGUCAUAGAGGGUGAGAAUCCCGUAUGUGACUGGCCCGCACCUUCUACGUAGCUCCUUCGACGAGUCGAGUUGUUUGGGAAUGCAGCUCUAAAUGGGAGGUAAAUUUCUUCUAAAGCUAAAUACCGGCCAGAGACCGAUAGCGCACAAGUAGAGUGAUCGAAAGAUGAAAAGCACUUUGGAAAGAGAGUUAAAAAGCACGUGAAAUUGUUGAAAGGGAAGCGCUCACAACCAGACUUCUAGGCAGUGUUCCGCCGGUCUUUUGACCGGUCUACUCUCUGUCUCGAGGCCAACAUCAUCUGGGACCGCCGGAUAAGACCUUAGGAAUGUAGCUCCCCUCGGGGAGUGUUAUAGCCUCUGGUGAUGCGGCGCGUCUCGGGUGAGGUCCGCGCUUCGGCAAGGAUGUUGGCGUAAUGGUUGUCAGCGGCCCGUCUUGAAACACGGACCAAGGAGUCUAACAUCUAUGCGAGUGUUCGGGUGCCAAACCCCUACGCGUAAUGAAAGUGAACGGAGGUGGGAAGCGUAAGCUGCACCAUCGACCGAUCCUGAUGUCCUCGGAUGGAUUUGAGUAAGAGCAUAGCUGUUGGGACCCGAAAGAUGGUGAACUAUGCCUGAAUAGGGUGAAGCCAGAGGAAACUCUGGUGGAGGCUCGCAGCGGUUCUGACGUGCAAAUCGAUCGUCAAAUUUGGGUAUAGGGGCGAAAGACUAAUCGAACCAUCUAGUAGCUGGUUCCUGCCGAAGUUUCCCUCA
rnacentral:rRNA from 1 species